CCUACGGGAGGCAGCAGUGGGGAAUAUUGGACAAUGGGCGCAAGCCUGAUCCAGCCAUACCGCGUGUGUGAAGAAGGCCUUCGGGUUGUAAAGCACUUAAGCAGGGAGAAAAAGUUAUAGGUUAAUACCCUAUGACCCUGAUGUUACCUGCAGAAUAAGCACGGCUAACUACGUGCCAGCAGCCGCGGUAAUACGUAGGUGGCAAGCGUUGUCCGGAAUCAUUGGGCGUAAAGCGCGCGCAGGCGGUCCCUUAAGUCUGAUGUGAAAGCCCACGGCUCAACCGUGGAGGGUCAUUGGAAACUGGGGGACUUGAGUGCAGAAGAGGAAAGCGGAAUUCCAAGUGUAGCGGUGAAAUGCGUAGAGAUUUGGAGGAACACCAGUGGCGAAGGCGGCUUUCUGGUCUGUAACUGACGCUGAGGCGCGAAAGCGUGGGGAGCAAACAGGAUUAGAUACCCUGGUAGUCCACGCCGUAAACGAUGAGUGCUAAGUGUUAGGGGGUUUCCGCCCCUUAGUGCUGCAGCUAACGCAUUAAGCACUCCGCCUGGGGAGUACGGUCGCAAGACUGAAACUCAAAGGAAUUGACG
rnacentral:rRNA from 1 species